rnacentral:tRNA from 1 species
GUUCCCAUCGAUUAGUGGUCAGAUCAUCACGUUGUGGAUUCAGCAGCCUGCUGGAGCGAAACCGUGGGGACGGGGGCUCGAAUCCCCCUGGGAACA